rnacentral:tRNA from 1 species
GUCACUUUGCCGGAGUGGUUAACGGGAUCGCCUGCUAUAUUCAGCCAAGCGGUUGGGCUUUGCCCGCGAGUGUUCGAAUCGCUCAGGUGACG